rnacentral:rRNA from 1 species
UACAGAGGGUGCAAGCGUUAUUCGGAAUUACUGGGCGUAAAGCGUGCGUAGGCGGUAGCGCAAGUUGGGUGUGAAAGCCCCGGGCUCAACCUGGGAAUUGCAUUCGAGACUGCUCUGCUAGGGUGCGGAAGAGGGGAGCGGAAUUUCCGGUGUAGCGGUGAAAUGCGUAGAUAUCGGAAGGAACACCAGUGGCGAAAGCGGCUCCCUGGUCCAGCACCGACGUUCAGGCACGAAAGCGUGGGGAGCAAACAGG